rnacentral:rRNA from 1 species
CCUACGGGUGGCUGCAGUGGGGAAUAUUGGGCAAUGGGCGCAAGCCUGACCCAGCAACGCCGCGUGAAGGAAGAAGGCUCUCGGGUUGUAAACUUCUUUUAUCAGGGACGAAGCAAGUGACGGUACCGGAAGAAUAAGCCACGGCUAACUACGGGCCAGCAGCCGCGGUAAUACGUAGGUGGCAAGCGUUAUCCGGAUUUACUGGGUGUAACGGGCGUGUAGGCGGGAAAGCAAGUCAGAUGUGAAAACCCUGGGCUCAACCGGUGGCCUGCAUUUGAAACGGUUUUUCUUGAGUACUGGAGCGGCCGCCGGAAUUCCUAGUGUAGCGGUGACAUGCGUAGAUAUUAGGAGG